UGGCUGGGGGUGACCUUGGUGUCCCUGGGGGUCUCUGGGUGCAUAAGGGUGGCCCUGGAUACUCGCCAUAGCUCUGGGUGACCUUGCUGGCUCUGGAUGUCUCUCAGAGACACCCUGAAAGUCCUUGUGUAGGAGUGCAUGGUUUUGGGGAGUGGGCAGCUUCUUCUCUGUGGUCACAGUGUGAAAUCUGGUCUCAGGCCUUUCACGGGCCUUCCCUGCAUGUUUGAAGAUGCUGUCUGGCAUCAGGGCUGUCCAGGAGUUGUGGGCUCAGGGUAAUGUCUCCCGUGAGGGGAGGUGGAAGGGACACGUUGCUGAUGGUGGCUCUGUGCUCCACCUGCGUGGGCUCCAUGGCCUCCCCCUUCCCGCUAGGUGUGGGCUUCACGGUCAUCCUCAUCUCACUGUAUGUCGGCUUCUUCUACAACGUCAUCAUCGCCUGGGCGCUGCACUAUCUCUUCUCCUCCUUCACCACGGAGCUCCCCUGGAUCCACUGCAACAACUCCUGGAACGGAAGGGCAAGGUGGGCAUCUGAGUCACUGAAUGGUCUCCGCAGUGCCCUCACCUUAGCAGGUUGUGGCUGACUUUUUAAAAUACCACAAUGGUCCAAUCGUGGACCCACCCACCUUUCCUUUCACGUCCAGAGUUGUGGGUGCCAUCCACCGAGUUGGGCAGGCACAGCACCAGUGUCUAAGCUGCAGGUGGGCUCCUGGCCAUGCCCAGGUGCCACUGUGCACCUGUACUGCUCAUGUUUUGGGAAGGAUACAAAGCAGGCAUUGCUGGUGUGCGUCCAAUCAGGACACCAUCAUCAUGUAGCAUGUGGAUGGGUCCAUGCCUUUCUGAGGGUUAUCAGGGUGCUGCCAUCAUGCAGCAUGUGGAUGAUCCAUGCUGUUCUGAGGGUUGUCAGGGCGCCACCAUCAUGUAGCCUCAGGAUGAGUUUAUGUUGUUCUGAGGGUUAUCAGGGUGCCGCCAUCAUGCAGCUUGUGGAUGAUCCAUGAUGUUCUGAGGGUUAUCAGGAAGCCGCCAUCAUGUAGCCUGUGGUUGAGUCUGUGCUGUUCUGAGGGUUUCAGGGCACUGCCAUCAUGCAGCAGGGCGCACAUGGGAUGGGGGGACACACUCAGGGGGUUGUGAAGCUGGACCCUGAUCAAGGGAGGAUGGAGACCCCGCUAGGGCUGGUGUGAGUGUGGAUAAGUCCAUGCUGUUCUGAGGGUUAUCAGGGCGCCGCGGUCAUGUUGUGUGUGGAUGAGUUCAUGACUUUCUGAGGGUUAUCAGGGUGCCACCAUUAUGCAGCAUGUGGAUGAAUCUGUGCUGUUCCGAGGGUUGUUAGGACGCUGCGGUCAUGUCAUGUGUGGAUGAGGCCGUGCUGUUCCGAGGGCUAUUAGGACGCUGCGGUCAUGUUGUGUGUGGAUGAGUCCGUGCUCUUCUGAGGGCUAUUAGGACGCUGCGGUCAUGUUGUGUGUGGAUGAGUCCGUGCUGUUCCGAGGGCUAUUAGGACGCUGCGGUCAUGCCGUGUGUGGAUGAGUCCGUGCUGUUCUGAGGGCUAUUAGGACGCUGAGGUCAUGCUGUGUGUGGGUGAGUCCGUGCUGUUCUAAGGGUUAUUAGGACACUGUGGUCAUGUUUUG
rnacentral:lncRNA from 1 species